rnacentral:tRNA from 1 species
GGUGGCUCAAUGGUAGAGUGCUUGCUUUAUAUUCAUGAGGCCCUGGGUUCGAUGUCUCAGCACCA